AUGGCCGACGCGGGUCAAAGUGUAGUAUCUCUUCUUAUCAUCUUAAUAUCUGAUACGGGUUGUGUUUGGACCCAAAAUGUUAAACUUAUUUUUGCAGGCUGGUAGAGUGCUUGAAGCCUGAUUCACCUCCACCGCGGGUCGGCUCGGUAUUGCACUAUAUAUGUCCGGGAUCAGCCCACGGGGA